CAAUAGCGUAUAUUAAAGUUGUUGCAGUUAAAAAGCUCGUAGUUGGAUUUCUGGUGGGAGCGAUCGGUCUGGCGCUUAGCGCGAGUACUUGCAUCGUCUCCGGCCAUCCUUGGGGAGAGUCUGUCUGGCAUUAGGUUGUCGGGCAGAGGAUCCUCAUCGUUUACUGUGAAAAAAUUAGAGUGUUCAAAGCAGGCUUAUGCCGUUGAAUAUAUUAGCAGGGAAUAAUAAGAUAGGACUUUGGUACUAUUUUGUUGGUUUGCGCACCAAAGUAAUGAUUAAUAGGGACAGUUGGGGGUAUUCGUAUUCCGUUGUCAGAGGUGAAAUUCUUGGAUUUACGGAAGACGAACUACUGCGAAAGCAUUUACCAAGGAUGUUUUCAUUAA
rnacentral:rRNA from 1 species